ACCUCUGGAAGAGCAUCAGUGCUCCCAAACACUGAGCCAUCUCUCUACCCUGUUUUAUGAGCCAAGAACCUAUCACUGGGCUGAGUCUUGAACAUUACUUUAUGCAAGCCGGCCUUCAUGCUCCAGUGAUCCAGGGCUUAGAUCGCAAGGGUGUUUGGGGCCCCUUAGGUCCUGGUAUGUCGGAACACAGUCCAAGAGUGUACUCUGGUGAGGAGAAGUCUAAGUACUCGUGGGGGGAAAAAAAAAAAAACACCAAGAAAACAAGAGCCCUGUGACCUAAUUUUCUUCAGAACACAGAACUGCUCUAAGCAUGUGUUUCCCGGCCCCUCCACGGUAUAGCACACCGGAGUCAGUUUACUUCCGGCUGCUGUUGUUUGUUUAUAAACCUCUCUGGAAAGACACGUUUUUGCCAUCUGCAGCUUGUCCUUGUGAGUGUGCACAUGUGACCCCUGUUUGAAUCACUCAUGUGACUCCUCUUACCCUCAGAGUACAAAUAAUCUGCAACUCUAAAUAAAGCUGGCUGUUCCUGAGAUGUUAAUCUGUCUCACUACUGGCCCCCAGGUCAAGUCCCAUGUUCUCUAGAGCAAUAAACACUGGCACUCACGCAGCAAGGCAGAUAUUAACAGACCUGCCUCCCCAGCCUAACUUCCAUGUCUUUGAAGACAGAGGGUUCAAGAUAAAGAAUUCAGUGGUUUGCUGUGCAUUUCCCUCGUUGUUGAGUUUGUCUCUGCAGUCAAAGUACCUAAACCAUUAGCAGAGCGGGACUUGGGCCCAUGCUUUAUGACGUUCCAGUGCAUUGUGGCGUGCAGGGCAGAAUGGAACACAGCCUUUGCUUUUGCUGGGUGAGAGAUAGCAGUGGUGGGGGUGCUCACUCUCUGUUCUUGCAGAGAACAGGGGUUUGAUUCCCAACGCCCAAGAGGAGGCUCACAGGCGCAGUUGCAGAGGACCCCAUGCCUCUCCUGCCUGGCUUCCUCCUUGCUCUCUUGUUUUAUCAAUAACUAAAAGGAUUCCUUUAUUCUGCUCUUUAAAACCCUAGAAGCCAAGAACCGAACCACAUUGCCUUCUUAUUCUUCCACACUUGUGAACCUCUCCACAGAUGCCAUCCUCUUGGGUGGCUUUAUUCUGAGGGAAUCUGACAGUGGUACCCACGAUGGUGCAUUUUCCUAAACACCUGGUGCGUGUGCCCCUGCUCAGCCACACCCUGGUACUGAGGUUUCCCAUUCCUUCAGCAGCAUGUAUUCACCGACAUGGAGAUAAAACUUAGUAGCAACAUCUUCAAAUGCUAUGCUCCCUGUGUGCAGGGUGAUUCCUGGACCAUCCUACUUCCCCAGCCCUGCAUCCCUGCCCUGUGUGGCUACACAGGUCUUCCUAUGGAAACAUGGAGUUAAUCCCCCUACACACACCUCUUACACCUCAGCUGGCCACAUGGCUUGCCUUAUGAAUAGCAUGGAGCAAAGACCAGAGCCAGCAACUCCUAAAUAUCACACUUCUUACUCCACUGGGCUAUGUAACCAUAGAUAAGUUACUUAACUGUGCCUCUGUCUUUCCACCUGUAAAAUGGGCAAGUAACGGCAGCACCAUCAUGAUGUUUCAGUGCUUAGAGCUGUCAUUGACACAAAGUAAAUGCUAAGUGUUUAUUAAAUAUACAAAAGGCAGGUCCUGGUGCCUCUUCACAGCAAAGAACCCAAGACUGUGCCGGUGAAUGUCCUUUGUAAAGGAAUUUGAAAAGCCGAAAAAAUUUGAAUAUUAACUUCUCAAUGGUGUUUACCAAAAAGAGGAAAUUUAAAUCUGCAAUGUAUUGACAUUUCAAAUUUUGAAAAUUUGAACGUUCAGUGAAGAAAGAGGAUUUCCAGGAAUUACUUCCUGUUGUGUGACAGGCUUUGCCUGGGGAGACAAAACCCGUAUGUGUCUACUCACCCCAGCAAGGGAAUCCAUCACAGACCAAAGUGCACGCAGCACCAAAGUCCAACUUGAACCAAUGAGUAUUUUACUGGGGGCUGGGGGUCACUUACAGGAGUAGAAACAACUCAAAGUCGGCUGCAUCACCAAAGCCCACCGAGCAGAGUCAAGCUCACAAGCUGGGAACACACCGCACAGCCUGCGGGCAGCUCAGCGGGUCAGAACGUGGUCUUUCCAGUGGUUCAAUGGGUCUGAGCCUCUUCCAGGCAGCUGGGCUUACCUCAACCUUCUUUGCAGCUUGACUGGUCUGGCAGUGAUUGGCAGCAGCCUUCACCACUUACAUUCUUCGGGGAGGGAGGGACUUGGUGAACCUGGUGCGUUUCAGGGACUUGCUGAAGCUAGUUUGUAUUGUCUGCUUCCUGUGUUCGUGGAACUUUCCUUCAAGGUGGAGUGUUUUAUCCCGUUUGAUUUCCUAGCAGAAUACCCCCAUGUUUUCACUUCCCUUUACAUCCUACGUCUUAAGAAGUUUCCUUCCAAGAUGGAAGGUUUUAACCUCGAAAGAAACAGGUACACCCUCCCUUUCUGGCUCUGAAGAGCCCCAACUCCAUCUUGUUUGUGCGCACCUGCUCGACCAGAGCUACUCCCUGACGAGGUUGCUCACCCAGCCACCUAAGAGAGGAGAGAGAGAGACCAACAGCUCCUCUCUUUACCAGAGCUAAGUCCCCAGUCCACAAACAUCAGUAAUUUCAGGAUCCAAAAUAAACUCAAAACUCUGGGUCUCCUAGACUAGUGCGUGCUCAAGAUGGUGACGGAGCUGCAGACAAUUAUCUGAAACUUGAGGAGUGCAGUCCCUGGAGCGUCCCCUAUGGUGUAAUGAUAGUGAGAGCAGACAGUUUCACUCAUUCCUGUUCUUAGUUCAAAUGCCUUUCGGGUUUCGUUAUUUAGAAUAUUCGUAAGAAAGUCUGAAGGAGCAAAGUAUUAGUCGAGAUCAAAGAUCAGCCAACUACAGCAUAAGCCACACCUGCCCCCGAUUUUUGUUGACAAGGUUUAUUGGAGCACAGGUGUAUCUGUGUACAUAUUACUCUUGGCUGCUUCAGUGGAACCAUGACAGAAAAGAGAGCUACUGGGUAUUCAUGCCCUUGCUCAGUAUCUCCCAGCAAUCCCCAGUCACAGAAGACCACACUGUGGUAUAAGACCAUCCCCAAAGCUCAGAGGUUUAACAUGUUUCUCACUCCCACAAAGCCAGCUGUCCUUCUGGACAAACCUCCAAGUUUGCAGUGCAUCCUGAAAUGGUGCACAGAGCAUCUGCAGGGCUGAGGGAAAGAACAGGAGAAGUUCUCACACCCAGUCUUCCACACCACGGACCAGGGCACCUACUCCAGGCCCAAUAACAAUCCAAACAACUCCACCUCCAGAAACACAAGAGAUGAGAAAUGACACACAGCCCCAGGCCUGGGAGCAAAGAAAACGAAUGCGGAUGUUCAAAAUGUAGCAAAGCAAAUAACGUUGGUUGUCAACUUGAUCGGACCUAGAAUCAGAAAGGGUUGUGGGCACCCUACUGGGAUUAGCCAUUGUAAGUUAACCAGGGUAGGGAAGCCUGGUCUAAUUGGGAGAUAGCGCUCCCAUGGCUGAGUUUUGGGAUGAAGGAAAAGAAAUCAAAUAGAGUAGCAACGUUCCUGUUCCCUGACUGUAGAUGAAUUCAGCACGAGCCCACAAGUUCCCGCCCCUAGGACUCCCACACACACAUGCAAAGUUCCCGCCCUCCUCCUCCUCCGCAAGGAGUGAGACUCUAGUACUUUGAGCCAAAAUAAACCCUCCUUUCCUUGAGUUGCUUUUGUCAAAGUAUUUUAUCACCGUGAUAGGAACUGUAACUAAGACAGAUGGUGUCAUCGUUGCAGAAUUUCUAGGAAACUGAGUCACUGAGCCGAAGCCGUGUUCCACCCGGGAAAGAAAGGUUUAAUUCGCUGGCUCCGAAACCGCACUGUAGUGGUGGCAGUCCUAAGCCUCGGUCCAGUAUUUUUAUUAGGUGGGAGUAUGGAAGCAACCCAACAUGGGGGUGGCUAGGCAGUGUUAAAAGUCAAUUACCACACCUCCUUGGUACCUUAAGUGGAGAUGCCACAAGUGGGAGGGGACAGCUCGAUGGAACUCGAGCCCUGGGGAAUUUCCGUUGUUUUAACACGUGGCAGGCAGUUUGAGAUUCUGCACCCCAUUCUCUCCUCUUCUUUGUCAGAAUCCGUUAUGACCCCUCUCAAGGAACCUCUGGUGCUGGUGGAGGCCAUGGAGUCCACCUGCUACUCUCCUGUAUCUAGUGACAAAACUUAGGUAUGGACUCAACAAUACAUAUCAGGAGAAUCAUGCCCAAAGGCCCCUAUUAGGGGCGGGAGUGGAAGCCGACUUGGGUAUCACCCCAGGAAGAUCCUUUUGUCUUGCCUCGGACCUUGACGUUUUCCACCAGCUGCCUGGCAUUUUCUUUACGAUCCCUGAGUGGUUUGUGCAGAAACAACCAUCUUUUUUCCUCUAAAGACACACAUCACCUUUUCAGCUACUAUUUUUGUAGGGUUGCUGGGGGAUGGCGUCUUUCUGGUUCUGCAGGGUGACUAUACUCUGCUGGGCUAGCCUGAGGCCCUCCUCCAUUUGAUUGGACAGCUGGCUAUGCCGGACCUGUUGGAUCCUGAGCUCAGUCGCUCCUGUGGCAGUAACGCCAUUGAGGGCCAUCUCCAAUAACACUGAGAGUAAGAUGGGAUUUCUCUCUUUCCUGUGGUGAGGGCCCUAGUAUUGUUCUACCCCUGGUACAAGGAGAAUAUCUCAAGCCCUGGGGAAUUUCCGUUGCUUUAACACGUGGCAGGCAGUUUGAGAUUCUGCACCCCAUUCUCUCCUCCUCUUUGUCAGAAUCCGUUAUGACCCCUCUCAAGGAACCUCUGGUGCUGGUGGAGGCUUGGUGUCAUCCUGCAAACCCACACUGGGUAACAGCAAUUACAGUCGACAACAGGUUGGCAGCACAAGCCAUGUACCCCGUAACAUGUCUGGAGGUGGCAGAUGGGACACGGAUGCCCCAUUCCAAGUGGCAGGAUGAAGUUUGGUGACGCUCAGAACUGUCAGAACACAGUCCCACAGUCUGAGAAUGGGGUCAUGGGAUGGGAACUCUGAGCGCUUGUGAGAAAACUCCAAGAAAACAAGACAAGGGCUUUGUGACCUGAGUUUCCUCGAAAGCAAGUACUAAUUCUUGGGUUGUGCUUUCGAUCCCCUCCCAGGUUUGCACUUGGGAAACAAAGUAAGCUUACUUUAUUCCUGACAACUGGCUACUGUUACCUGUUUAUGUGCCUCCUGGAAAAACAUGCUUUUGCCAUGUGUGACUUGUUGUGACUGUGCAGUUUAGUCAAAUGACUCUUCUUAACCCACGGAGUCUAAAUUGUCUGGUGCUCUGAAUAAAGCUGGCUGUUGCGUGAGA
rnacentral:sRNA from 1 species